GCGUCGGUGGUGCAACGGAUAGCAUACGCUCCCGGAAGGAGAUCUGGGUUCAAUUCCCGGCUGACACA